rnacentral:rRNA from 2 species
CGGGACACGUGGUAUCCUGUCUGAAUAUGGGGGGACCAUCCUCCAAGGCUAAAUACUCCUGACUGACCGAUAGUGAACCAGUACCGUGAGGGAAAGGCGAAAAGAACCCCGGCGAGGGGAGUGAAAAAGAACCUGAAACCGUGUACGUACAAGCAGUGGGAGCACGCUUAGGCGUGUGACUGCGUACCUUUUGUAUAAUGGGUCAGCGACUUAUAUUCUGUAGCAAGGUUAACCGAAUAGGGGAGCCGAAGGGAAACCGAGUCUUAACUGGGCGUUAAGUUGCAGGGUAUAGACCCGAAACCCGGUGAUCUAGCCAUGGGCAGGUUGAAGGUUGGGUAACACUAACUGGAGGACCGAACCGACUAAUGUUGAAAAAUUAGCGGAUGACUUGUGGCUGGGGGUGAAAGACCAAUCAAACCGGGAGAUAGCUGGUUCUCCCCGAAAGCUAUUUAGGUAGCGCCUCGUGAAUUCAUCUCCGGGGGUAGAGCACUGUUUCGGCAAGGGGGUCAUCCCGACUUACCAACCCGAUGCAAACUGCGAAUACCGGAGAAUGUUAUCACGGGAGACACACGGCGGGUGCUAACGUCCGUCGUGAAGAGGGAAACAACCCAGACCGCCAGCUAAGGUCCCAAAGUCAUGGUUAAGUGGGAAACGAUGUGGGAAGGCCCAGACAGCCAGGAUGUUGGCUUAGAAGCAGCCAUCAUUUAAAGAAAGCGUAAUAGCUCACUGGUCGAGUCGGCCUGCGCGGAAGAUGUAACGGGGCUAAACCAUGCACCGAAGCUGCGGCAGCGACGCUGAUGCGUUGUUGGGUAGGGGAGCGUUCUGUAAGCCUGUGAAGGUGUACUGUGAGG